rnacentral:rRNA from 1 species
GGGGAAUAUUGCACAAUGGGCGAAAGCCUGAUGCAGCGACGCCGCGUGAGUGAAGAAGUAUUUCGGUACGUAAAGCUCUAUCAGCAAGGAAGAAAAUGACGGUACUUGACUAAGAAGCCCCGGCUAACUACGUGCCAGCAGCCGCGGUAAUACGUAGGGGGCAAGCGUUAUCCGGAUUUACUGGGUGUAAAGGGAGCGUAGACGGUAUGGUAAGUCAGAUGUGAAAGCCCGGGGCUCAACCCCGGGACUGCAUUUGAAACUAUCAGACUAGAGUGCAGGAGAGGUAAGUGGAAUUCCUAGUGUAGCGGUGAAAUGCGUAGAUAUUAGGAGGAACACCAGUGGCGAAGGCGACUUACUGGACUGUAACUGACGUUGAGGCUCGAAAGCGUGGGGAGCAAAC